UUUAGCGUGUUUGCUUUGUCUUGGGGCGGCGGCGGGGGAACGACAUUUCCCAGGAGGCACCGCGAACCAACGCUAGUACUCUAUUUCCCAGAAUUCCCGGCUUUCGGAGCUACCAGACUGUCUCUCCUCGGGGUUGGAGAUUUCGGGGCCAAGAUGGCGACGGGAACGGGCAAACACAAGCUGCUGAGUACUGGCCCCACAGAGCCGUGGUCCAUCCGAGAGAAGCUGUGUUUAGCAUCUUCUGUCAUGAGAAGUGGAGAUCAAAACUGGGUGUCAGUUAGCAGAGCAAUCAAGCCCUUUGCAGAACCUGGCCGCCCUCCAGACUGGUUCUCUCAAAAACAUUGUGCUUCCCAGUACUCGGAGCUUUUAGAGACCACUGAGACCCCAAAACGGAAACGAGGUGAAAAAGGAGAAGUGGUGGAAACUGUUGAAGACGUCAUUGUUCGGAAACUGACUGCUGAGCGAGUUGAGGAACUAAAGAAAGUGAUAAAGGAAACCCAGGAGAGAUAUAGACGGUUAAAAAGAGAUGCAGAACUAAUUCAAGCUGGACACAUGGACAGCAGACUGGAUGAGCUUUGCAAUGACAUUGCAAUGAAAAAAAAAUUGGAAGAAGAGGAGGCUGAAGUAAAGAGGAAGGCUACAGAUGCUGCAUAUCAGGCUCGUCAAGCAGUAAAAACACCCCCCCGGAGGUUACCCACUGUGAUGGUUCGCUCUCCUAUAGAUUCUGCCUCCCCAGGAGGUGAUUAUCCACUUGGGGACUUGACUCCAACCACUAUGGAAGAGGCUACCUCUGGGGUCAAUGAGAAUGAAAUGGCUGUGGCUUCUGGCCACCUGAACAGUACAGGUGUCCUCCUGGAGGUAGGCGGGGUCCUUCCCAUGAUACAUGGUGGGGAGAUACAGCAAACACCCAAUACUGUUGCAGCCUCCCCUGCUGCCUCAGGUGCUCCCACUCUUUCCCGGCUUUUAGAAGCUGGUCCUACACAGUUCACCACACCUCUUGCUUCCUUCACCACUGUUGCCAGUGAGCCUCCAGUUAAACUUGUGCCACCCCCUGUAGAGUCUGUGUCCCAGGCUACCAUUGUCAUGAUGCCUGCGCUGCCAGCACCAUCCUCUGCUCCGGCUGUCUCCACUACUGAAAGUGUAGCUCCAGUGAGUCAACCCGAUAACUGUGUUCCCAUGGAGGCUGUGGGGGAUCCACAUACUGUGACUGUUUCCAUGGACAGCAGUGAAAUAUCUAUGAUCAUCAAUUCUAUCAAAGAAGAAUGUUUUCGAUCAGGGGUAGCAGAGGCCCCUGGAGGAUCAAAGGCUCCCAGCAUAGAUGGGAAGGAAGAAUUAGAUCUGGCUGAGAAGAUGGAUAUUGCUGUGUCUUACACAGGUGAAGAGCUGGAUUUUGAGACUGUUGGAGACAUCAUUGCCAUCAUUGAGGACAAGGUAGAUGAUCAUCCUGAAGUGCUGGAUGUGGCAGCAGUGGAAGCAGCACUCUCAUUUUGUGAAGAGAAUGAUGAUCCUCAGUCCCUGCCUGGCCCCUGGGAGCAUCCUAUCCAGCAGGAGAGGGACAAGCCAGUACCUCUCCCUGCACCGGAAAUGACGGUCAAGCAAGAGAGAAUGGACUUUGAGGAAACGGAAAACAAAGGAAUACAUGAACUGGUGGACAUCAGGGAGCCCAGUGCAGAGAUCAAGGUGGAACCUGCAGAACCAGAGCCAGGCAUUUCAGGGGCCGAAAUAGUAGCUGGAGUUGUUCCAGCCACAAGUAUGGAGCCACCAGACCUCAGGAGUCAGGACUUAGAUGAGGAACCAGGAAGUACUGCAGUUGGAGAGAUUAUUGAAGCAGAUGUUGCCAUUGGGAAAGGCGAUGAGACCCCACUUACAACUGUGAAGACAGAGGCAUCCCCUGAAAGCAUGUUGUCUCCGUCACAUGUCUCAAAUCCCAUUGAAGAUCCUUUAGAGGCAGAGACUCAGCACAAGUUUGAAAUCUCAGACUCAUUGAAAGAAGAAUCAGGGACUAUUUUUGGAAGCCAGAUAAAGGAUGCCCCAGGUGAGGAUGAGGAGGAAGAUGGUGUCAGUGAAGCGGCCAGCCUAGAGGAGCCUAAGGAAGAGGAUCAAGGAGAAGGCUAUUUGUCAGAAAUGGAUAAUGAACCUCCUGUGAGCGAGAGUGAUGAUGGCUUCAGCAUACACAAUGCUACACUGCAGUCACACACACUGGCAGACUCCAUCCCCAGCAGCCCUGCUUCUUCCCAGUUCUCUGUCUGCAGCGAGGAUCAGGAAGCUAUUCAGGCACAGAAAAUUUGGAAGAAAGCCAUCAUGCUUGUAUGGAGAGCUGCAGCUAAUCAUAGGUAUGCCAAUGUCUUCCUGCAGCCUGUUACAGAUGACAUAGCACCUGGCUACCACAGCAUUGUGCAGAGGCCGAUGGAUUUGUCAACUAUUAAGAAAAACAUAGAAAAUGGACUGAUCCGAAGCACAGCUGAAUUUCAGCGUGACAUUAUGCUGAUGUUUCAGAAUGCUGUAAUGUACAAUAGCUCAGACCAUGAUGUCUAUCACAUGGCAGUGGAGAUGCAGCGAGAUGUCUUAGAGCAGAUCCAGCAAUUCUUGGCCACACAGUUAAUUAUGCAAACAUCUGAGUCUGGGAUCAGUGCUAAAAGUCUUCGAGGGAGAGAUUCUACCCGUAAACAGGAUGCUUCAGAGAAGGACAGUGUCCCAAUGGGCUCUCCUGCCUUCCUUCUCUCUCUCUUUAUGAGACAUGAGUGGGUUUGGCUGGAUUCUGAUCAAGAUUAUCCCAACGACUCUGAGUUGAGCAAUGACUGCAAAUCCCUCUUCAGCUCAUGGGACUCCAGUCAGGAUCUUGAUGUGGGCAUCUGGAGGGAAACUGAGGAUCCAGAGGCUGAGGAACUAGAGGAAAGCAGCCCAGGGAGAGAAACUAGUGAACUGCUUGUUGGGGAUAGAGACAGUGAAGAAUCUCAGGAAGAGGCAAAGCAAGCCAGCCACCAGAACUUCCUCCACUUUCUCUCUGAGGUAGCUUACUUAAUGGAGCCCUUGUGCAUUAGCAGCAAUGAAUCAAGUGAAGGCUGCUGCCCUCCAUCUGGUACCAGACAAGAAGGAUGGGAAAUUAAAGCUAGUGAAGGAGAAAGGGAGCUCUGCAGAGACACUGAAGAGCUUUUAGCCAAGGGAGACCUCUUAGUAGCUGAAAAGCCACUGGGAGAAAAUGGAAAGCCAGAAGUGGCUUCAGCUCCCUCAGAUAUUUGUGCAGUUCAGGGACCACCCACAGGGAGUGAAGAGGGGGAGGCUCAGCAAGAAUCCAAAGGGGAGGAUCAGGGUGAAGUAUAUGUGUCAGAGAUGGAAGAUCAGCCCCCUUCAGGCGAGAGUGAUGAUGCCUUUAACAUUAAGGAGACUCCCUUGGUGGAUGUAUUUUUCAGCCGUGCUACCUCCUCAAAGCUGACUGAUCUAAGCCAGGAUGACCCUGUUCAGGAUCAUUUGCUAUUUAAGAAGACUCUCCUGCCAGUCUGGAAGAUGAUUGCCAGUCACAGAUUCAGCAGUCCAUUUCUGAAGCCUGUGUCAGAAAGGCAGGCCCCAGGGUACAAGGAUGUGGUAAAAAGACCUAUGGACUUAACUACCCUGAAGAGAAAUCUCUCUAAGGGUCGGAUUCGCACCGUGGCCCAAUUCCAGCGAGAUCUGAUGCUGAUGUUCCAAAAUGCUGUAAUGUACAAUGACUCUGAUCAUCACAUAUACCAUAUGGCUGUGGAAAUGCGGCGAGAAGUCUUGGAGCAGAUUCAGGUGCUGAAUGUUUGGUUAGACAAAAGACAAGGCUCAAGUAGUCUGGAAGGAGAACCAGCCAACCCAGUGGAUGAUGGAAAACCUAUUUUGUAACGUGGAGCUUCUAGCCUGACUUUUCUAGAGUUUGAAACCUCUCCCUGAACUCUGACCUAGAGAGGAUCCCAGUACUUCUUUGCCAUGUCUCUGUUGUCUUUUCCAAUAAGAAUAUCCCUACCUCACUCAAUGAUACAUGUGGACAUAAUAUAAGGAAAAACAGGGGAAGCUGAGAUUUGGGUUUAAUGCCAUAAAUGUUGCAUACAUCUUUGUUCCACGGGCUUGAUUUAAAGACAAUUAGAUUAGAUCUUUUACUAAGCCUUUUACUCUAAUAAAUAAAUGUCUUUUCACAAACAGAAUAUUGCUUUUUAAUGACUAGGUAAGCUUGGCAUAGAGGGGACAGCAUCAUCCGGUCAAAUGAAGGUAUCUGACACGGGUCUUACAUACACUGCCUGGAAAGGAAUCUGGGAGGUGGGGUGGUCUUAUCAUUUAUAAAGUAGGGAUAAUUGAAGAACAGGAUGAAAUAACAUAAGUUGUGAGUAAAAUGUCAGAAAAUAUCUAGUGCCCUAAGAUUCACAAGGAGAAUAAAGAUGACUACCUGGCUCGCUUUGGUUAAAACAACUUGCCAGAGGCUGCAAGGAGGUUCCUUGCUGGGAUUGGCCCUCUGCAGCCACCGUCCCCACGCUGGGGCUUCAGGUCUCCUAGCAACAAAUUGAACUCACCAGGGCGGCCGCUGAGAUAUAUGUAGAAAAAACUCUGGCCGUUAUCAAACCAGAUAUUGUUGACAAAGAGGAGGAGAUACGAGAUAUUAUUCUCAGAUCUGGAUUCACCAUUGUUCAG